CGGGUUUUGGGUUUUAGAUUUUAAUAGGGCUUUAGGGUAACGAAAAGUAUACCCAUUAAUUCUGUUCAGCCAUAUUACAACCUAACAUAUCAUAAUAUCAACGAGGAAAAGGUUUUGAUUAGCCAACGUGUGUUAGCUACCACGUCAUGAAGAAACAAGACACUCUCAAAUUAUAUUUUGCUUAAGACACUCUCAAAUUUUGUUAUAGACGUUUCUACCAUUUUUAAUAAUGUGAAGGUACAUGAGGUCCUUUAUCCAUAGUUUCUUCUUAUUGAUAAUGUUUCAAGGUCCAUAGUCACCAUCUCCGAUCAAGUUGCAUAUAUCCGAACAUUCCACUAAGCUACACACACACACACACAAGAAUCAUCAGCUCCUAUAGGUUAAAGAUUCAUGCUGAACAACAACGUUAGGAAUGUAAUUUA